GCCGGGCAUGGUGGCACACACCUGUGAUCCCAGCCAUUCGGGAGGCUGAGGAGGGAGGAUUGCUUGAGCCAGGAGUUCUGGGCUGUAGUGCACUAUGCAGAUCAGGUGUCUACAUUAAAUUCAGCCUCGAUAUGGUAACCUCCAGGGAGCAGAGACCAGCAGGUUGUCUAGGGAGGGGUGAACUGGCCUGGUUGGAAAUGGAGCAGGUCAAAACUCCCAUGAUGAUAAGUAGUGGGAUUGUGCCUGUGGAGAGAUGCUGCAUUCCAGCUUGGGCAACAUAGUGAGACCCUAUCUCU
rnacentral:SRP_RNA from 1 species